UACGAAGGGGGCUAGCGUUGCUCGGAAUCACUGGGCGUAAAGCGCACGUAGGCGGAUUGUUAAGUCAGGGGUGAAAUCCCGGGGCUCAACCCCGGAACUGCAUUGGAUACUGCCUUGCUAGAGUACUGGAGAGGGAACUGGAAUUUACGGUGUAGCAGUGAAAUGCGUAGAGAUCGUAAGGAAGGCCGGUGGCGAAGGCGAGUUCCUGGACAGUUACUGACGCUGAGGCACGAAGGCCAGGGGAGCAAACGGGG
rnacentral:rRNA from 1 species